rnacentral:rRNA from 1 species
GACGGAGGAUGCAAGCGUUGCUCGGAAUCACUGGGCGUAAAGGGCGCGUAGGCGGCCUAGCAAGUCUGGUGUGAAAGCCCAGGGCUCAACCCUGGAAGGGCACUGGAAACUGUUAGGCUUGAGUUCCGGAGAGGAGGGGGGAAUUCCCGGUGUAGCGGUGAAAUGCGUAGAUAUCGGGAGGAAUACCGGUGGCGAAGGCGCCCCUCUGGACGGAAACUGACGCUGAGGCGCGAAAGCGUGGGGAGCAAACAGG